GCAGGUGAUAAGGCUUUGCUG
rnacentral:miRNA from 1 species